UCAAUCUCACUUCCCUUAAAACACUUCGAAUUUGGGAGUGCCUUGAAUUACAGUACAUGCCAAAAGGGACACAUCAGCUUACCUCUUUAAAAGAAUUGUUCGUAGGGAAAUGCCCUAAUCUGAGGGCUUUGCCAGAUUGGAUACUCAAUCUCACUUCCCUUAAAACACUUCGAAUUUGGGAGUGCCUUGAAUUACAGUACAUGCCAAAAGGGACACAUCAGCUUACUUCUUUAAAAGAAUUGUUAGUAGGGAAAUGCCCUAAUCUGAGGGCUUUGCCUGACUGGAUACUCAAUCUCACUUCCCUUACAAAACUUCAUAUUCAGGAGUGCCUUGAAUUACAGUACAUGCCAGAAGGGACGCAUCAGCUUACCUCUUUGAAAGAAUUGUCCAUUGAAAAUUGCCCUCAUCUUAGGGCUUUGCCUGACUGGAUACUCAAUCUCACUUCUCUUGAAACACUUCAAAUUUGGAAUUGCCUUGAAUUACAGUACAUGCCAGUAGGGAUUUCUCGGCUUACAUUCUUAGAAGAAUUAUAUGCUGACCGCCAUAAUUUGAGGGCUUUGCAAGACUGGAUACUCAAUCUCACUUCCCUCAAAGAUCUUUAUAUUUGCGAGUGCCUUGCAUCACCGUACUUGCAAGAAAGGAUGCAUAACCUCACCUCUUUACAACGAAUGAUAGUUGAAUCUUGCCCUAAUCUAAGUUCUUCUAGACAUUCUCUCAAAACACUUCUAAUUCGGGGGUGCCCUGAUAUAUACUCCUGGAGAAUGAGGCAUUCUUUGUCCUCUUUAGAAGAAUUGAAUGUUCAAAAUUGCCCUAAUCUGGGGAAAUUGUUGUAUCGCAUAUCAUUUUUAAUCACUUGCCUCAAAACACUUACGAUUUGUAAGUGCCCUGAAUUACAAAACUUGCAAAUGGUGGAUCGCCUUACCUCUUUACAAGUAUUGUCAAUCAGUGAAUGUCCAAAAUUGUCGGAAAGAUGUGAAAAGGAAACCGGAAUCUUGUGGCCUCACAUUGCUCACAUCCCAUCUAUUAUAAUUGAUGGGCAACAGAUUCAGUGAUGAUCAUACAAUAUAUAGGUAACAAUAUUUUUCUGCACCUCUAUUUAUAUUUUCUCCCUGUACCUGAUAAUUCUUUUUUUUUCUUCCUGGAUUUGGAUGAUUCGUAAUUUGUUGUAUGCAUGUAAUCCAAGUUGACUAUGCGUGUAAUUUGUUUACUCUGCUACUUCUUUCUAAGUGGACUAACAAUAUUGAUUUUUUCUUAUAUAGACAAAUUUAAAAAAAUUACAGCAGUAUGAAUCUACUGAAGUUAUCAAAUUAUUCUGAUUUUUCACUUUGUUAUAUCUAAAUGUCUAUUUUCACCUUUUUCAAUGAUGUUAAUCUGUGUUCAGAGGAUAUUGUUUAGGUUGACCAAAAGUUUGGGUUUUCUGUAAGAGGUUGUCAACAGCUUUUUGUGCAGUGUUGAUGUAAUUGUUCAGUUAUCUUAUCACUAAAGUUAGAAUGCCAAAAGGAGUCUUUAACAUAAGCAUAAAAGGGAGUUGUGGACAGAUUAUUGUCAGUUGUUUCACUUCCCCUGUUUUUAUUCAUUGAUCAAUGCAAAAUUAUCUUUUAUACAAUGAGGCAGCCUUGGAUGUUUGUGUCAUAUCUUUUUAGAAGCAAAACCAAAAUUUAAUGUGAAACACUGGUGAAAUAAGCUGAGAUUUUAUAGGCACUUGCUUUUGUAAGGAAUAUGUUAACAUUAUUUCUUUAUUUUUUACUACGUGUUUAUAAUGGGAUGAUGACAUUUUUUCCAUUGUUUGAAGCAGGAAGAUUUCAUCUUGCCAAUUUCCUUCCAAAGCAGACUGUUGUUGAAUUGAAACCAAGAGAAAUUUCUAUUGGUAAACUUUACCACUUAUUUGGUUUGUUUUACCAAUUUCAUUUACUUUCUAUAAGGAAUCCAUUAACACCCAACUUCUUACUUCUUUCUGCGUGUCUUUAUUGGGAUUAUGGACUUUUUCUGAUAGAUUGAGAGAGUACGAAUUGAUUUCAACUUGCCAAUGCCAUUGUGAAGAAGAGUACUACAAUCCAUGGAUUGGAAGCUUUACUCUCAACAGCGCCAUCACUAUCUAUGUUACAGUUUGAUGGCAAUUCUAUGUGAGAGUUAAAUUUUACUUUUGAGUGUUUGAAUUCAAUAAAGGCUAGCUCGUGAAAAUAAUUUAACAACUUGACCUCUGGUGGCUUUGUAGAUGACAGAAAUUGCACAGCAUGCAACUCUUUCACCUUUUCUUCCCAAGAAGUAAGUGAUCUUGAAUUUAAGGUAAAUUAGCUUAUCACUUAAUGCUCUAUAGAAUUUACUGUGCAUAGAAUGUUGAAUAUUUUUUCAUUGCUAUAACGUUAUAAAAUUUUCAUUUUCUAUAGAAAAAUAAGAGGUAUCAUGACUAGCUCACCAACUCCCUUUCGAGGCAUUCUUGAAAUGCAGGUAUAUUCCCAAAGCAUAUCUAUUGCAGAAGUGAUGACUCCAUAUUAUAGUUUCUUUAGUUUUUGUUCUUGAUCUUUUGCAUAUCUUUAGUUUUUUAGACUAGUUAUUUGUGAAUGAAGGCAAACAACACUUGCUAAGUAGCGGCUCGAGUGAUUGGGAGAAUAGUAUGGAGUUGAGCUGUUUGGAAAACCCCUUUGCUUCUUUCAAAAUCAAUGUCAAUAGUUCCAUAUUGGCCGUUCUUUGAGGUCUUUGAACAGUGGCUUCAAUUCUAGUCUGUAGGCCUUUACUUAAUUAACCCAAACUGUUAAGGGGACCUAAAUACAAAUGUUCUUUCCAAUGUAUAUGGAGAAGACUUUUGGGAUACUGUUCUGGGAUUUACUAUUUGCUACAUUUGGGUGCUGCAAAGUGUCAAAGAAUUGUCAAUCAAAGAAUGUCCCCAAUUGUUGAAAAAAUGUAAAAAAGAGACUGAAAUCUAGUGGCCUCACAUUGCUCUCAUCCUGUCUAUUUAUAUUGAUGGCCAACAGAUUCAAUGAUGAUCAUACAGUACAGGUAACCAUAUUUUUCUUCUCCUCUGUUUAUAUUUUCUCUCUUUAUCUUUUAUUUCCUUCUUUUUUUCUUCCUGGAUUUGAAUGAUUUGUACUUUGUUCUAUACAUGUAAUCCAAGUUGGUAUACCGAUUGCCUAUACUUUGUACAGAUAGCAUACUUAUUGUGAAAGCAUUAAAUUUCAUACUCUUGUACGGAUAAAUUUAAAAAAACAGUAUUAUAAACGUACUUAAGUUACUUAAUUAUUCUGAUUUUUAGUUGUUAUAUCAAUUCCCAACUUCUUCUGUUUAACAUAAACAUAAAAUGGAGUUAUGGACAGAUUAUUGUCAGUUGUUUCACUUUCCCUGUUUUGUGCAUUGAUCAAUGCAAAAUCAUCUCUUAUACAAUGAGGCAACGUUGGAUGUUUGUGUCGUAUCUUUUCAGAAGCAAAACCAAAAUUAAAUAGAAAAGGAUCGCAGGACAGAUAGCUUCUAUCAUAGAGAUUCUAAAUAAUUGAAUAACUGAUGAAAUAAGCUGAGAUGUGAGAGUGAGUAUUCCUGAAAAUUUCAACUAAAAGUUUGUUAGAAUAUCCAGUCAAGACUCCGGAGCUGAAAGCUAGUAAUAAUAGAAACAAAUGUGAAAGUCUGCUUGUACAUUUCCUGCCAUAUUUGUUGUGAUGAGGAGAUAUUGCUAUAGGUAAUAUUUUCGCCUCUUCUUCUUGAUGUUGGCACUUGCUUUUGUAAAGAAUAUAUUAACAUCAGUUCUUUCUUUUUGUAUGUGUUAAUAAUGGGAUGAUGACAUGUUUUCAUUGUUUGAAGUAGGACGAUUUUAUCUUGCUAAUUUCCUUCCAGAGCAAACAGUUGUUGAAAUUUCUAUUGGUAAACUUUACCACUUAUUCGGUUUGUCUUACCAAUUUUAUAUGCUUUCUAUAAGGAAUCUAUUAACACCUAACUUCAUACUUCUUUUUGCAUGUCUUUAUUAGGAUUAUAGACUUUUUCUGAUAGUUUGAGAGAGAACAUGCGGAUUUCAACAUGCCGAUGCCAUUGUGAAGUAGAGUACUAGAAUCGGUAGAUCGAAGGCUUUACUCUCAACAGUGUUAUCACUAUCUAUGUUACAGUUUGAUGGCAAGUCUAUGUGAGAGUUAAAUUUUGCUUUGGGUGUUCAAAUUCAAUAAAGACUAACUGAUGAAAAUAAUUGAAUAGCUUGACGUCUGGUUUCCUUUUAGGUAAAAAAGACUGCACAACAUGCAACUCUUUCACCUUCUUUUCUCAAGAAGUGAGCCUUGGUCUAAUGAUCUUGAAUUCAAGGUUAAUUGGCUUUUCAUUUAUUGCUAUGUUAUAUAUGAGGAAUGUGCUUUGUAUAGAAUCCUCAAUAUUUUUGCAUUGCUCUAACAUUUAAGAUUUUUGUUUUCUAUAGAAAAGAAAGAGAUGCCAAUGACUUGCCUGCCAACUCCCUUCCGGCCAUUUUUGAAAUACAGGUAUUCUCAAAGCAUUUUUUAUGAGGAAUGACUUGCUUUUGUAAAGAAUAUAUUAACAUCGGUUCUUUCUUGUUUGUACGUUAAUGGGAUGAUGACAUUUUUCAUUAUUUGAAGCAGGAUGAUUAUAUCAUGCUAAUUUCCUUCCAGAGCAGACUGUUGUUAAAUUGAAACCAAGAGAAAUUUCUAUUGGUAAAAUUUACCACUUAUUUGGUUUGUUUUAUCAAUUUUAUUUACUUUCUAUAAGGUAUCCAUUAACACCCAACUUCUUACUUCUUUCUGCAUGUCUUUAUUGGGAUUAUGGACUUUUUCUGAUAGAUUGAGAGAGUAAAUAUUGAUUUCAACUUACAAAUGCCAUUGUGAAGAAGAGUGCUACAAUCCAUGGAUUGGAAGCUUUACUCUCAACAGCGUCAUCACUAUCUAUGUUACAGUUUGAUGGAAAUUCUAUGUGAGAGUUAAAUCUACAUUGAGUAUUUGAAUUCAAUAAAGGAUAACUCAUGAAAAUAAUUUAACAGCUUAACCUCUGGUGUCCUUUUAGAUUACAACGAUUGCACAGCAUGCAACUCUUUCACCUUUUCUUCCCAAGAAGUGAGCCUUGGUCUAACGAGCUUGAAUUUAAGGUAAAUUAACUUAUCACUUAUUGCUCUAUAUAAUUUACUGUGCAUAGAAUGUUGAAUAUUUUUUCGCUGCUAUAACGUUAUAAGAUUUUCAUUUUCCAUAGAAAAAUAAGAGGUGUCAUGACUUGGUCACCAACUCCCUUUUAAGGCAUUCUUGAAAUGCAGGUAUAUUCUUGAAGCAUAUCUAUUGCAAAAGUGAUGACUAUAUAUUAUAGUUUCUUUAGUUUUUGUUCUUGAUUUUUUGCAUAUCUUGUUCCUUAAUGCUUGCUUAUAACAAUGGAUUUUUGGACUAGUUAUCUGUGAAUGAUGGCAAACAACACUUGCUAAGUAGUGGCUUGAGUGAUUGGGAGAAUAGUCUGGAGCCGAUCUGGUUGGAAACCCCCUUUGCUUCUUUCAAAAUCAAUGUCAAUAGUUCCAUAUUGGCCAUUCUUGGAGGUCUUUAAACAGUGGCUUCAAUUCUAGUCUGUGGGCCUCUACUCAAUUAACCCAAACUAUUAAGGGGACCUAAAUAGAAAUGUUCUUUCCAAUGUAUAUAGAGAAGACUUUUGCGAUACUGUUCUGGGAUUUACUAUUUGCUACAUUUGGGUGCUGUUAAGUGUCAAAGAAUUCUCAAUCAAAGAACGUUCCCAAUUGCAGGAAAGAUGUAAAAAGAAGACCAGAAUCCAGUGGCCUCAUAUUGCUCUCAUCCUGACUAUUUAUAUUGAUGGCCAACAGAUUCAAUGAUGAUCACACAAUGCAGGUAACCAUAUUUUUCUUUACCUCUGUUUAUAUUUUCUCCCUUUAUUUGAUAAUUCCUUUUUUUUUUCUUCUUGGAUUUGAAUGAUUCGUUCUUUGUUCAAUACAUGGAAUCCAAGUUGGUAUACUGAUUCGCCUACACUGUGUACAGAUAGCAUACUUAUUGUGAAAGCAUUAAUUUCCUUCCAGAGCAGACAGUUGUUGAAUUGAAACCAAGAGAAAUUUUUAAAUAUAUUUAUCUGAAAUAUGUUUAAUGUUUGUUUAACAUUAAAUUGAAAUUUAAUGUUGAAUUGAAAUUUCUAAAUAAAUUUAACAGCAUUAAUUUGACUUUGGAAGAUGCUAGUAUAAGGCCUUUGCAACAAACAUUGAAGAUGACGAUGACCGAGGCUAACAAGACAUCAGAAGAAGCAUCAUCAUCAUCAAGGAGCACAUGUCAUUCAUAUUCUUCGGCUACCCUUCCUCUCUCCAUUUUGAAGCGUCUGAGACUUAAAGGCAUUAAGGAUUUAGAAGAUCUGCUAGAAGAGUUCCUACUGCCGUAUUGCCCUAAAUUGGAAUUGUUACUGCCGCAAAAGAUGAGUUGCCUCACCUUUUUACAACAAUUAUGGGUUGAAAAUUGCCCUAAUUUGAGGGCUUUGCCCGACUGGAUACUCAAUCUCACUUCCCUUAGCAGUCUUCGAAUUAAGGAGUGCCUUGAAUUACAGUCCAUUUCGGAAGGGACGCCUCAGCUUACAUCUUUAGAAGAAUUAUCUGUUCAGAAUUGUCAUAAUUUGAGGGCUUUGCCAGAGUGGAUACUCAAUCUCACUUCCCUUAAAACACUUCAAAUUUGGGGGUGCGUUGAAUUACAGCACAUGCCAAAAGGGACGCAUCAGCUUACCUCUUUAAAAGAAUUGUGGGUAGGGAAAUGCCUUAAUCUGAGGGCUUUGCCAAGCUGGAUACUUAAUCUCACUUCCCUUAAAACACUUGGAAUUUAGGAGUGCCUUGAAUUACAGUACAUGCCAGAAGGGACGCAUCAGCUUACCUCUUUAAAAGAAUUGUCCGUAGGCAAUUGCCCUAAUUUGAGGGCUUUGCCGGAUUGGAUACUCAAUCUCACUUCCCUUACAAACCUUCUAAUUAAGGGGUGCUUUGAAUUACAGUCCACGCCAAAAGGGACGCAUCAGCUUACCUCUUUAAAAGAAUUGUCCAUUGAAAAUUGCCCUCAUCUUAGGGCUUUGCCUGACUGGAUACUCAAUCUCACUUCUCUUGAAACACUUCAAAUUUGGAAUUGCCUUGAAUUACAGUACAUGCCAGAAGGGACGCAUUGGCUUGCAUCUUUAGAAGAAUUAAUUGUUUACUGCCAUAAUUUGAGGGC
rnacentral:lncRNA from 1 species